rnacentral:rRNA from 1 species
UACGAAGGGGGCUAGCGUUGCUCGGAAUCACUGGGCGUAAAGGGUGCGUAGGCGGGUCUUUAAGUCAGGGGUGAAAUCCUGGAGCUCAACUCCAGAACUGCCUUUGAUACUGAGGAUCUUGAGUACGGGAGAGGUGAGUGGAACUCCGAGUGUAGAGGUGAAAUUCGUAGAUAUUCGGAAGAACACCAGUGGCGAAGGCGGCUCACUGGUCCGGUACUGACGCUGAUGUGCGAAAGCGUGGGGAGCAAACAGG